GGAUCGGAGGCGGAUAUCGGUUGGCCGCGCCUGUCUGUAAAACAGGAUCUUUCGAUGACGAUGGGGGUUCGAUUCCCUCCCGAUCCA
rnacentral:tRNA from 1 species